rnacentral:lncRNA from 1 species
CUAAUAUACAACUAGACUCUAAGACUCUCUAAGACUCACUAAGAGUUAGUGGACCCUAAACACUCUAAACACUUCUAAUUGUCAAGAUGGACACUCUACAGGGUGGAUACACUCUACAGGGUGGACUAUGGCACAGGACUAUUGGUCUCCUAAAGGUUGAAUCUAAGGUUGGACUGGUGGAACCUAAGGUUGGUCUCUAGACUCAGACACUAUUGGUGGAUGGUGAAACCUAAGAUUGGUCACUCAGACACUAUGGAUAAUACCUAUGGGUU